CCUACGGGUGGCAGCAGUGGGGAAUAUUGGUCAAUGGGCGCAAGCCUGACCCAGCAACGCCGCGUGAAGGAAGAAGGCUUUCGGGUUGUAAACUUCUUUUCUCAGGGACGAAGCAAGUGACGGUACCUGAGGAAUAAGCCACGGCUAACUACGUGCCAGCAGUCGCGGUAAGACGUAGGUGGCAAGCGUUAUCCGGAUGUACUGGGUGUAAAGGGCGUGUAGGCGGGAAAGCAAGUCAGAUGUGAAAAGCAUGGGCUCAACCUGUGGCCUGCAGUUGAAACUGUUUGUCUUGAGUACGGGAGAGGCAGACGGAAUGCGUAGUGUAGCGGUGAAAUGCGUAGAUAUUAGGAAGAACACCAGUGGCGAAGGCGGUCUGCUGGACAGCAACUGACGCUGAGGCGCGAAAGCGUGGGGAGCAAACAGGAUUAGAUACCCUUGUAGUC
rnacentral:rRNA from 1 species